UACGUAGGGUGCAAGCGUUGUCCGGAAUUAUUGGGCGUAAAGAGCUCGUAGGCGGUCUGUCGCGUCGGAUGUGAAAAUCCAGGGCUCAACCCUGGACCUGCAUUCGAUACGGGCAGACUAGAGUUCGGCAGGGGAGACUGGAAUUCCUGGUGUAGCGGUGAAAUGCGCAGAUAUCAGGAGGAACACCCAUGGCGAAGGCAGCUCUCUGGCCUCACCCUGACGCUGAGGCGCGAAAGCGUGGGGAGCGAACGGG
rnacentral:rRNA from 1 species